rnacentral:rRNA from 1 species
AUUGAACGCUGGCGGAAUGCUUUACACAUACAAGUCGAACGGCAGCACGGACUUCGGUCUGGUGGCGAGUGGCGAACGGGUGAGUAAUGUAUCGGAACGUGCCCAGUCGUGGGGGAUAACGUAGUGAAAAUUACGCUAAUACCGCAUACGAUCUAUGGAUGAAAGCGGGGGAUCGCAAGACCUCGCGCGAUUGGAGCGGCCGAUAUCAGAUUAGGUAGUUGGUGGGGUAAAGGCCCACCAAGCCAACGAUCUGUAGCUGGUCUGAGAGGACGACCAGCCAAACUGGAACUGAGACACGGUCCAGACUCCUACGGGAGGCAGCAGUGGGGAAUUUUGGACAAUGGGCGAAAGCCUGAUCCAGCCAUUCCGCGUGCGGGAUGAAGGCCCUCGGGUUGUAAACUGCUUUUGUACAGAACGAAAAGGUUUCUACUAAUACUAGGAGCUCAUGACGGUACUGUAAGAAUAAGCACCGGCUAACUACGUGCCAGCCGCCGCAGUAA